CCGGGAGACUGGGGUGGUGAGGAAGGCGGAGGAGGUGCGGCUGAGGCCGUCCGGCCGCCCGCUUCCCCUCUAGUCAGCCCGGAGGAGCUCCCCCCACCCCCAGCCCGGGCUGCGGUGCCGGAGAAGAGGGAGGAGGCUGCGUUAGGCGGCUGUUUUCCAGUUCACUUUUGCAGACCAAGGCAGAGAAGAAGAGCACCAGCUCCGCUGCCCCUCUUGGCUGCGGCGCACUCAGCCCCAAGCCCCGCGUGCGCUCUGUCUCGGAUACCGAGCUGGCCAAAGUGUCCGGAAACGCGCAGAGUGCUCGGAGCCUGUCCCGCAGCUGUGCGACGCGCGUCUCGAGCUGGCCGCUGCCGCCCCGCCCUCGCGCUCCUUCAGCCCUGCGGGCGGAGAAGCCGGCCCGCCCGCCGGCGCGGAGCUGGGGAACUUGAACUGGCCCCAGCGGCCGCUCUGCCGAGAUCCCGCUCCAGGCCCGGGGGUGCUCCGGCUCGGGGUAGAGGGCACGCCCGGGAAGUGGAUUUAGCAAACACACCUUUGAACCGAUCCAGGAGACCAGAAAAACUUACCACCCACAUCUACUCUUCAUAAUCAAGUCAUUGGAUGAAGAUAGGCAGGCUCGAGAGAAGAGACAGAAGCCUACAGCACUGCCACCAACUGCCCAGGAUGCAGAGAUUUCAACAGGAAACAGGACAUUUAUGAAUGAAGCACAUUAUUUAUCUCAGUGUGGGGUAAGAAGAGAGAAAAUGAGCUGCUGGAGAAGGGACUGAGGUUCACCUUAGGAAGAACAUCCUGUCAAUAACAUCGAAGCUCUGGAGAAUCUCAUGGAAGGAGCUUCAGGGCUUUGGUCAACGUUCAUUCUACCAACAUUUACUGGGGACCUUCUGGGCAUUUCUUGGUUUGUGUCUAAUUCAGUCACAGAGCUAAAUCAGGAAGAUUUCACUCAAAUGCUUCUCUGGAGGGUUUCCUUAACUUGAAGUAUUGCUAUCUCUUUUUUCCCAACUUUUCUUCUUAUUCUCUGCCACCUUUGAAGGUUCACAGGGCCCAGUCCUGGGCCCUGCAAAAAAAAAAAAAAAAAAAAAGGUUUAAAAAUCAAGAAUUAUUCUAAAAGAAAAUCUGACCCACCGCACCAGUCAAGAUUUCAGCCUCUUGAUCAAACAGCCACUCAGAAGGCAAUGGCAUGCUGAGAAAAGCAGGCAGUAAUGGUAGCCAGUUCAGAGGUGUGAGGACUUGCUGUGAACUGGUUUAUAUUACCUACCUCCUUUUACUCAACAGAAACUCUCUACAGAAAAUGGCAAUACCACUACCAUUCUAGGACUCCUUGUAUUAGGCCUCACCCAACAACUGCUUGGCUGUCUAUCCAGAAUAGUUAAAACAGCCAGUGCCCCAGGGAAUGUCAUAAAAUUUCACUGUAUUCAGUGACGCCCUAUUCAGCGAAUUGCAGAGAACCUAGUCUUCUUCUGUACACCUGGCUAUGAAUCACUGACUCAGUGACCUCCAUUUGGGACCUGCUUUCCUGAGGUAGUUAAUUUAGCCUUCAUGAGAUGGAGGUACUGAACCUUGCUUAGGGAUGCAUGCCUAAUUUCACAUAACUGUGAAGUUACUUCGGUUGUUUACAUGGCAAUCUUGUGUGAUCUAAGCAACUCUAUUGCUGUCAUUUUAUGACCAUUUGAAACAUCUUAAUAGUCCCAUUUUUUUUUCUUUUCCUCUUGCUCAUUUCCAAAUGGAAGGAAUUCUUAUGAGGUAAUAGGGUGGUGGGGAGAAACACAGUUUGCUUUAGCUCCUACUAAUUAUUCCAUGUUAUGCUUGAGUGGAUUAUUUGCAUCCGGUCCCUAUUUGUUAACAUCAAUGGGCUAUGUUUGCAUAACUAGAUCGAAUUAUAAAAGGACUUCCAUUUUGAGUGGUUAACUCUCACAAAAAGAAAGAAAAAGAAAGAAGGAAGGA